AGUUAUGCAAAAAGACGGAUACGCUUGUAAUUUUUUUUAUAAAACGGGCACAAAUUAAAAUGUGACUACAAAUGCUCCAAAAGUAACGAAUAUUGUACUGUAAACUUGGGUCAGUCUAUUGGUCAUUGCAUGGCUUUUUAGAGAGACACGUGUCCCACCAACCCCAGAUAACAAACACGUGUACAGUUAUUGGUCCGGGUUCAAACUUCAAAGAGAGAAAACUGUGGGUGGAACUUACCAGAAAUUAACUGGAUGUAUUCACUCAUCGACAGGGACAAUUUUGGUCUUCUUCGUGUUCAAUUAUUUAGUUACACAGCUAACUUUUUCUCUUUUUGUUACUCAUCCUCUAUAUUUUCUUUACUUGCUCCAGCUACAUCUGGCUUUUGCUUCCGCAUUUAUUUCAAAAAAAUCCCAAUUUUCUCAUUUUUAUGUGGAUUUCCGUUCCCAGGCUUCCGGCACUACUUUCUCUGUCAAGUGUAUGGCAAUUCUGACCUUUCGAUUGAGGUUGUAAUUAAACUGUCCGAAACGAUGCAUCGAAGGCUCCUCUUCUUCUGCUAACUCUAGUUUGCAGGUGGGUUCUUCCGUGAUAGCGUGGGUUAUGGGUUUAUGGAUCACUGGCUUCUCUCGCCAUCUCAAAGCCUCAUCUGCCCAACAUCAUUACUUUCUCAUUCUAUUCAUGCUGCGCAGAUGGAGCUCAAUUCAAAUUGCAGAGUCAAUAAAAUCAAGGAGGAAUCUGAUGCUUUGAGGGGUUUAGCAGAGAAUUGGAUCCAAAAAUAAUCUUUAAAUAUCCUUUUUGGUUUAAAUUGACCUCUCUUUCUUGAAUCCCUCCCAGAAGCAUUUGUUUGAUUUUCUUAAGUCAAGCUAAUGAAUGGCCCAAAUUCCCUGAUUUUUAAAUUCAUAUGGAGUGAUUCUACAUCGUGUAAAAUUAGCAGCUCCUAAUGAAGCCAUGUGAGUGAAAAGACUAUAUGCAUCAGUGAAGCAUACUAAUUUUUGUUGAACACUGGAGGGAGAAGAAGAGCAAGUAUUUCCUUUCACAAUCACUGUUACAUUGAGCACAAUCACAGUUAAUCGCCAUCGGUACCCAUAAAAACUUGGUCUUCUGCGGUCUGCAUCAUAAAAGAUUACAAUCAUAAAGUAGUAGGACUUUCUAACUUUCCUAUUGGCUUGAGUGCACAGUUACAUUAAUUCUGAUGUUGUUUGUUAGAGAAGAGGCAUAUCGCUCAAGAUUAAACUUCUGUAGCAAUAGGAAAAUGCCAACUCUGUACUACUAUUGCUGCCAGAGUUCUUACUGCUCUUAAGUUAUUAGUUUGUACGCAGAGGCGGAGGUAGAAUGCUGGCAGCGGGUUCGGUCGAACCUAGUAACUUUAAUUCGAACUCUGUAUUUGUCUUAUAAAUUCAUUAAAUAUGUAUAAAUUAUUAAUUUAGAACCCAGUAACUUUUAACGAUUAAAAACCUGAACCCAUAAACUUGAAAUCCUAGCUUCAGAGUGAUAAAAUAAGGAUUGUGUUAAAUUUCAUCUUCCACUUCCUGUUCAAGCUUUUUAUGGCAUUUAAAAUGUAGCUGAUUUUUUUUUUUUGUUUGACAGUUAUGUGAUCUACAAUUGAAUCAUUUUUAGCAUGCAAAAUUUAAUCAAUAUAUACCUUUACAGUACUUUCAUUUUAGCUUUAUUACCUGCUACUUCAGAUCCAAAUUUUUUACUUCUUUCACUUCCAGAAGUAACUCCUGCCCGUUAACAAUGUCUUGGACACGUUUCAAACAAAAUCUUUCGAAUUCAAUUAAGAAAAUCAUCCUGGAAAAAUUUCUGACUCUGUGCAUAUAAGUCUAUCAGUGCUGUCCUACAUAGAAAAGGAACACAUCUUUGCACUAAAUAUUGGCUAUAGAAGCAAAAAAAAAAGUCAAGCCUCUAGGUAUAAAUGAGGCCGAAAUGGAAGCCGCAGAUGUGAUAUCAGAAUCUUCAAGCACAGGGUUAAAGCUGGAACCACCAAUACCAUAAAAAUUUGUAAAAGGCGAGUCCCCUUAUAUAUUUAUAGUUGAGGUUUUCUUCUUUCCUCUGACUUCUGAAUUUUUAUGCUUAUAAUAUAAUGCACCUUAGAAUUGCUUAUUUCCUUACAAAACUACCUUCUUUUUGCUCUUAUUUAUGUUUGCCAACUGCAGGAAGUAUGUACCUUUUUUGGGAUCUUUUUCUUCUGGAAAAUAAAUCCUUUUGGGUUUAGAUAUGUAUGGUAUAGUCUCACUCCCCUUACCCUUCACAAUUUUGUCAAUUCUGUAACUUGUGAACAAAAAUGAAUCUUAAUUUACUGUGUUUGUUCCUGAUACAUUCAGUGUAUUGAAAAUUGCCCGGAGAAAAUUACACUAUUAUUCUACCCAUAGCUCUCUAGAUGUUCUGUUCCUUAAUUGUUUUUGCCUAGGUCAUCAUCAAAAGGUUGGGAUUACAACUUUUCAUCUUUUACAUACUAGAAUGUCAACAAGCGGACUGAAAUUAUACUUCAAGUUCAGAGAUAGAACAGUAGUCCUAAAAAAAGGCAGUCAAGAGCAAUACUGAAGAAAAAAGUACCAUAAAGAGAAGCUUCAAUGUCUUACAACUCACAUUUGAUAGAUGAAAAGGAAAAACUUCUGGCAGCUGCAUUUUGGUUUCUGGGCUCUCAUUACUUCAACUUCUUUCCGAUUGUCAAUCAUCACUUGACCUGUUUAUGUAUGCUUUGAAGUCUACUUUAAUAUGUAAAUGCAUGAUCAAUAAUUCUGCUAAUUUCUCUUGGUUGCCUAUGAUCUGCUUUUUACUUCAGCGAAGGUUUGUAGAAAUGUUAAAGCUAAUCCUUGUGGCCUAAUAAGAUAUUACUCUUUAGAAUGAAUAGUCAUAUUUAAAUCUAUUUAAUUUUUGUAAUUGUAAUCUUAAAUAAAGAGAUUCAAGUUUAAUUUGA